rnacentral:ncRNA from 2 species
ACUAAAAUCCGCCGCGUUGGUGCUCGCGCCGUGGUUCACGCGGCGCAGUUCAACGGGAAGCAGGAGUCGAAGCCCAUCGGGCCCAGCCAGCCUGCGCUGCCCCCGCAACGGUCAAGCAGCCGGCACCUCGUGUGCCACUCUCGUCAACAGGCCACUGGGCGCCCUGAAACAGGCACCUGGGAAGGCGGCGAGGGAUGCGCUGCCAGCCCGGAUACCGGCCAACGAGGCGGCGUGCCG